AAAAAAGCCAUAUAGUGGCACACAUUUUUAAUGGCAUUUAGGUUUUCUGCCACUAAUUUUUGUUUUUAAUGGCACAUUAGAUAUUUAACACAUACAUUUAGUGGCAUUUAACUUUUAUGUCACUAAUCAAGGCUUUUAGUGGCAUUUUGCAUAUGCCAUCAAAAUUUUAUAUAUAACAUCUGAUUUAAAAUUUUCACAAUUUCCCUCUUUAAAACCUAAAAAUUUCCCUAGAAAUUUUUCAACUUUUUCACCAAAAAUCAAUUUCCCUCUCCAAAUCAUUUCAUAUUCCCGCUCAUUCCCUUCAGCCUUCAUUGGUUUCCCUCUCAUUCUCACCAAAAAAUCAAUUUCCCCCGCUCUAAUUUUUCUCUCCAAAAUCUCAUCCAUUGCCUUCACUCAGUUUGAAUACCACCAGUUCACGACUGUACCGACCAAAGACGAUUGUGCUCCUGUUUAAAUCCCGACAUCAAUUUGUAUGUAAUCAAUCAUAAAUCUCUAAUUUUAAUUGCUGUGCUACUUGUUUUCUUUCUAAUUGUUGAUGGAUUUGGGUGUAAUUUCUGUUUUGAGGUGCACUGUAGAGUUCAAUCUCACAAAAACCGGGUUCAAUUCACAUAUAUACACCGUUACAGCCAUUACAGACAUGUACAUGAAUUUUAAACAUCAGUUUCUAUAUAGUGCGCUCAAGGUGUUCGACGAAAUUACUGAACCAAAUACCACUUCAAUUAAUGUUGUUGUUUCUGGGUUUUGUCAGAAUGGGUGUUACAAGAAGGCUUUUGAGGUUUUUAAACUAUUUAGCGAGUUUAAACUUAGGCCCGAUUCGGUUACAGUUGCUAGCUUGUUGUCGGGUUGUGACAUUUCAGUUAAAGAUGGCCAGCAGAUUCAUUGCUGGGCUGUUAAGAUUGGCAUUGAAACUGAUAUUUAUGUAGCAACUUCACUUGUUACAAUGUAUUUCACUGCAAACAGCCUCUGACUGCAUCGGUUGUAUUUAAACGAAUUGGUAAAAAAACUGUAGCUUGCUGUAACGCGUAUGUUACCGGUUUGUUGCAGAAUCGGAUUGUUGAGCCUGUGUUUAAAGUAUUUAAACAAAUGCUGCAAUGAUCAGCCCACGACGCGAAUACUGUCAUGUUUGUUUCUGUGUUAUCUGCUUGUUCGGAUAACAAGAAUUUUAAAUUCGGGCUGCAAGUUCACGGGCUUCUCAUGAAAGUCGAUUUAGUACUCGAUUUGUUAGUCGGAAUCCAAUGAUAUUCGGCAUGAUGCUAAACGGCAAAAGCGAAAGCGAUAUCGGUUUGUUCAUGAUGUUAGAAUCUAACGGGCUUAAACCGGAUUUGGCAACGUGGAAUAUCAUGAUAAACGGGCUCUUGAAUGUCGGAAAACCGGAUGAAGCAUUCUUGAUCUUUAGAAAAAUGCAUUUGAUCGGAGCGCUCUUGAAAUAUUAUGCCAGAAGCAUUUCUUUGCUCCAUCGGCGAUGUGAAGGUCAGCAGCACAUUUGAUCGGAGGGCACACAAUGUUGUAGCUGGAGUUGAGGUUAUCUUUGACUUUAUUUUUCUUACAUGCUGACAAGUAUGACUUUCAUUUGAGAGGUGUCAUCUUCCUUUAUAAAGAACAGACAUAAUGAGUUCUCUAUCCAUCAAUUCAGUUUGAUAAAACCUUAUCCGAAACAAAAUGGGAGGCUGCUACUGUUUCUAUUCUUUUAAAGCAGUCGAACUCAACAGUUCACCGUGCUUAUAGCAUGUUUAAGACAGACCGGUUCAACUAUGCAUCAUCCAAUAGCAUUAGAGGAUUGUCAACCCUUCUCAUCAAGCAGUGGUGCAGCUUCAAUAGGGCUUUUACAAGUUAUCAAAUUUAGGGUGAGAAAUAUGCAACUUAAGUAAUCAUAAAGGUCGCUCUCAGUCUAUUUGCAUUGUCUUGUCUAUAUUGUCCUUGCCAGAGGUGAAUUGCAGGUAUAUUACCCUAGAUAUGGGUCGUCUUGUUGCUGGCACAAAAUACCGUGGGGAAUUCGAAGAAAGAUUAAAGAAGUUAAAGGAAGAAACAACACAAAGUGAUGAUAUCAUUCUUUUUAUUGAUGAGGUUUACACUGUAAUUGGAGCUGGAGCAGCAGAAGUUGCUAUUGAUGCUGCUAAUAUAUUAAAAUGAGCCCUUACCAGAGGUGAAUUGCAGGUGGCAGUGUAUACACUUGAUGAAUACUGAAAACAUAUUGAAUAAUAUCCAGCAUUAGAGAGACGGUUCCAGCCAGUUAAGGUACCUGAGCCUUCUUUCUUUGUUUAUAGUUAAGUGAUAAUGUUGGUGGGUUAGGCAUGUUGGGUAAGAGGUCGAAAGCAGGGCUGGCAACUCAUGUUUGGUUUAGGUCGGUAGGUCCGUAUAACCCAAACCCACCUCCCACUUGAGUAGAUAAUGUUGUCGAAAAGGUGAACUCUAACCUGGUUAAAUGGUUUAGCUUGUGUAGCCAUUUACAAUUCGUUUGUAUGGCUAGUGUCAUUGUCAUAGUGAUAUCCUUUUGCAAUUUAUAGUUA